rnacentral:lncRNA from 1 species
UUAAACCUCUUCCUCUCUUCUUCCUUAAUUUCGAAAUUUGUAGUGUGGUAAAGUUCAAGAACUCUUUUCAUUUCAAUAAAAGAGGUUCUUCAAAAAGAAGUGUAAGAAAACUCUUGUUCUUUGUUUAUUUCUUCAAUUUUCGAAAAUCCCCUAAGAGCUUUCUCUAAUUUUUGAAUUUCUUGAAGGAUUCUCUAGUGGGUUGCAAAUAUCCACAAAGUUCUUCAAAUUUUGAAAAGAUCCUAAGGUAAGAAUCAUGGAAUUCUUGCUACAUCAAGCUAACAUCAAUAGUAUUUCCUUCUCUUCUCUUUUUGAAAAACUCCCCUUCUUGAUUGUUUGAAGAAAUCGAAUGUUUUAUGAAAGAAAGUGUUCAUAGUGUGUUAUAUUAUAUGUUUAGUCUCAUGCAUGUUAAGAUCCAUGCUUGAAUCCUUGAUCUUUGAUGAGAAAAAUGAUGAUGAUGUUUUGAUAUGUUUAAUUUCAUGUUUAAAGCUUUGCAUGUGAGAAUCUAGCUCUUGAUUCUUGAUUCUUGAAAGAAAAUAGAAGAUUGGUGAGAAAACCGAAAAUUUGAUGAUUAUAUGCUAUGAAAUUAAUUAUCUUGAUGUUUAUAAUGAUUGCAUGUUAAGAUUUACUAAUUAUGAUUAUAUGUUGAAGGUUUUGAUUUGAGGCACAUAAGUUGAUUGGGUCUAGAAUCUUUAAAUAGAUUGUUAUAUGUAAAAUUUUCAGAUUCAUAGGUACGGAUUUUAACCCAUGUUUCACCCACGAGUUUAUUUAUGAAAACUAUGAAAAUUUAUAUGAAGAUAGAUCUCUCUAUUAUGGUCAUAUUGAUAUGUGGCUUGUAAUAUUUGGAGUAGAAAUAAAUAAGUUAUGAAUUAUUUACCGAAACUGUACAAAACCAGAGUUAGUUUAGAAUUAGUAAUGAAAUCUAAUGUUUUCCUCUUUAUAAAUUAGUGAUUCCAGUUGGAUUAGAACCCCAACUUAGAAAACUCAUUUGAGAUAAUAUUUGGCAGUGUUUGACACAGUAGAUAAUUUAUAAGAAAUAUUUGAAGUCCCCUCCCCUGUUCUGAGUUUUAAACUGCACUACUAUACCAUUUUACUUAUUUAUCCUAAUUUCAUAAAUAUUUUCUAAAACUGUUUUUCAGGGGUAUAUAAGACUCCUAAUAGUAUAUGUAGUUAAAAUUUCAAAAGGUUUGGAUGAAUAUGUAAAGCUCAAUAAAUUUUUAAAGUGACUCCAUCUGUUCAGAUUUCAAAACUGUACCACCUUAGAAAUUUAUUUAUAUCUCUUACUCGGAUAAUGAUUUUUCUAAACUGUUUCUCGGUGGUUUUAAAGGCAUAUAAAGGAGUAUGUAGUAAAACUUUCAAAGGCUUUUGAUUUGUGGUGCAAGAGAAAUGUUUUUUUGAAAGUUAGGAUACCAAAGCUGUUUGAUUUUCUUAAGAUGACUAUUUUUAUCAAAGUAUGAUUUGUGAUCAUGGUUCUAAUAUACGAGGUAGGAAAGAUAAGUUAGUGAUGAAGGUGAAACCUCUAAGUAAUGGUCUAAUGAUCUAAGUUUAGGUAUUAUGUUGCAUGUUAUAAGAGAGAAUUAGAGUCUAUUAGCCUAGAACGGUGUUAUGAAUCAAGUGCAAGAUUUAGAAAAAUGAUUAAUUGAUUUAUAAUGAUAAAUUAGAAUACUUGAUUGUUUUCGUAUAUUAUUUGUGAUGUUAUGUGACCCUUUUGAAAUAAAGGUUUAUGUAUUAAGUGAUUAGACUAAAGUAAUGCCGUAUGUGAUAAUUUUCAUAAUUCAUGAUAUGAGUGAUAUUGAUAUGCUAUGAAUGACAUGGUUAUAUGAUUAUGUGAUUACAAUAUGGUUAAAGUUGAAGAAUGCCCUUCUUGGUGCUACUAUGUGAUAAUAAAUAUUUAUGUGUGUUCAUGGAAUGAAAUGUGAAGUAAAGGUGCUAUGUUCUAUAUGAUUAUGUGUUCAAUGAUUUGAUUGAAGAUGUGAAGUAUAAUUGUUGUGAUACUUGUUACUUUUAUGUUUGUUUAUUUGAUUAAACAUAGAUAGAUCAUGUAAGUUUCAUGUCAUUCAUUAGUAAGUCUAAGAUGCAUACAUCACGAUUUUUCAAAGUUAAAAAUGUUUGGAAAUUGGUUGUGGAUCUAGGUGAAUAAGUAUGGGAUACGGGGGGCUGGUAUUCCGUUAGUGGUUGAUAGUUGGGGUCCACAUAGGGGCCUGUCCACAUAGGGACUGAUUCACAUAGGAAUCGGGAUUAUAAACCACUAACUCGGCUAUAGUAAAGUUAUAGCCGUGACUAUAUUCCGGUUAGUGGUUGAUAGUUGGGGUCCACAUAGGGGCCUGUCCACAUAGGGACUGAUUCACAUAGGAAUCGGGAUUAUAAACCACUAACUCGGCUAUAGUAAAGUUAUAGUCGUGACUAUAGUAAAGUUAUAGAUCACAAGCUCCAAAACACACGGCUUAUUGCCGAACUCCACGAUUGUUUUUCCAAACGGGCCCAAUGUUUUCUCAUGAAAAGUUUUAAAAGUCUUAAGUCUCAUUUUGCAUGCAUAUUGCAUAUUAAAGUAAAGAAAAGAAGGGUGUUAAGUACCCGACUUUUGCAUAUUAAAGUAAAGAAAAGAAGGGUGUUAAGUACCCGACUUUUGAAAGAAAUGAAAGGAUGUAAAGUAUCCUUGAAAUAUUUUAAGGAAAGGUAAAGGUAAGGUAUAGUAAGUGCAAGUUUCGAAUGAUCGUAAAUUUAUUAUGUGUUCGUGUAUGCCUAUAUAUAUAUGUGUGUAUAUAUAUAAAUUAUGUGUAAAGUCUUUUUCAAAACCUUGUUAUUACUUCCGGAUUCUUACUGAGUCUUUUUAAAGGCUCAUAUAGAUGUUAUCUUGGUGUAGGUAGCUCAUGAUCCGAAUCCGAGGAGCAAAGUUGAACCAAGUCCGGGGAAAGCCGAG